GUGCUCGCUUCAGCAGCAUAUAUACUAAAAUUGGAACAAUACAGAGGACAUUAGCAUGGCCCCUGCACAAGGAUAACAUGCACAUUCAUGAAGUGUUCCAUAGUUUU
rnacentral:snRNA from 1 species